UCUUCAAAAUCAAACAACAAGCAGAUGAUUUGAGACAUCAGCAAUGAGCAGACGGCCAACCAACAAACCAAUCAACCAACCGGCAAGAAAAGGCUAGGCCAGCCAUCGCCGACAUUAGACCAAGAGCAAGCAACAAGUCUAUUCGGAAUCGGGCUAACAUACACCCAAAGAGGGGAGAAACGUUACAUAUACGCAUAUCGCCAGUGACCACGCCACAAGAUCGAUGGAAAAUAUCAACUGGCUGCUCCCAUGAUAUAUACUACUAAUGGCCACUGGCCACUGGCCACGCUAAAGAUAUGGAAGGGGAUUUCUAGCUUCCACUGAUCGUGCAACCAACAGACCGACCCCUGAUAAGGGGGGAUUGGCGCAGAUCUUUAAAAAAAAAAAAAAAAAAAAAAAAAAAAAAAA
rnacentral:sRNA from 1 species